GGCUCUGGCGCUAGCUGGUGUCCUCCUCCGCGGGUGUUUGUUCGAUAAACCUGUGUUGCUGUAGAGCCGCCUCCGUCCGUUUUUUCUCCCGUUCCUGCGCUAACGAUGACAUUAUACCAAAUGUAACUGGCAGCAGCUACUCCAGGCACAAAUGAAGCCCAUGCAUGGUCCACUGCAGUGAUCUCCAUGGAAUAGUGAAAAACAGGCUAAGUGAUGAAAAAGAAGUGCCGGGAAUUUGGUAUACUUCAUUUUUCAAGGAGGAGAUACAUUUUCUUAAGCGAUUCCAUCUAUACACAAGAAGAAAAUGGUUCCUGCAAAGCUGGGGGUUUUAAUUGCAGUGCAUUUUUUACCCACUCAUUGAAUUCUGCAAACACUCAGUGCCCUUGGAAAAGGACCCUGGGCCUCGAAAAAAAUGUCAGCCUUAGCCUAUGCAUUGAUUACCUGAAAAGAGAGCCCAGUCAAGCUAUACCCAGACUGCUAACAAUGUAAAGUUAAAAAAAAAUGUA